rnacentral:rRNA from 1 species
GAUGAACGCUGGCGGCGUGCCUAACACAUGCAAGUCGAGCGGACAGACGAUGCUCUUGCUCGGCUCACGUGAGGGGCGGGCGUGUGAUUAACACGAGUAUGCCCGACCGAGCGGACUAAUAUCACUACGAGAACGCGGAUAAAACACCAGAUAAGAUCGUGAACCUCGGGGGUCGUUGGACAAAGACGGUUUUGCUGUCACUAAUAGAGGCUUCCGAGCCGGAUUAGCUAGUUGGUAAGGUAACGGCCUUCCAAGGCGAGGAUGCGUGGCCGACCUGAGAGGGUGAUCGGCCACACUGGAACUGAGACACGGUCCAGACUCCUACGGGAGGCAGCAGUAGGGAAUAUUAGGCAAUGGGCGAAAGCCUGAUGGAGCAAUGCCGCGUGUGUGAAGAAGGUCUUCGGAUCGUAAAGCACUUUUAUUAGGGAAGAACAACUGUGUAAUUAGACAUGGCCGUAUUGACGGUACCUACUAAAAAAGCACCGGCUAACUACGUG